rnacentral:lncRNA from 1 species
UCGACACACCGCUCGCCGCCGCGCGCACUCUUUUCGGCCGAAGAGGAUUUUCCGGGAAUUGGAGCUGUAGGUUGCUUCCGCCUUUCUGCUGAUGAUGCGCUGACGCUCUCGUUUUUCGUAUUUGGGCUAAAUACUUGUAACACUGUCGGCUUUUAAAGUUACGUAAAAACACUCGAUGACGAUCGGACGGUUUUAUUUUUUCGCGAGAGAAAAUGCUCAUACUCCGAGUGUAGGUAGAAGUCAGAGGCGUUGAGAGAGGAAAAGCCUGUGUUUUCCGGAAGAACACGACGAAUUAGACACUUCGAGGAAGUUUGGAACAAAGUUUCGGAACGAAGCUAAUCCAGCACCGCAUGCGUAAUUCGCUGAAUUAGGAUUGAUUUUUAUGUGCAACGCCUCCGUAGGAUAACUCGAAGAUUCGAUUCGAAGAUCGUCGAAUUUAGAGAGUAGUGUUUAUUAUAGGAAGUUGCCAAGACACUUCGUUCGGCGGAUUCCACCUGACGACUUUUCCUUAUCCGAGGAUGCUAACUAUGGAAUGUAUAUUCGAUAGCUGCAGUUAGUUCUAGAUAUAGUAUAACGGCUCAUUUUCCGAUUAAUGAGCUGCUAGUUAUACGUUGCGAAAGAGGAGUAAGUGAGUAUAGCCGAGGAAAGUUCGAGAGUUGAUGGUAUAAAUGUAUAGAUAGUGCGUGUUUCUGGGAUAUGUUCGACUUUGUAUAGUAGGAAAUGGAUCGUUUUCGCAGACUGGAAUUAGUUAUCGAGCAACUUGCCUUGUUAAUGCGCUAACAUGCUACAAAACUCUCCGCACAUUUUCCAUUCAUCACGACCAUACCUUCAGCAGAUGUCCACAGCAGCAAGUGUGUUUCCGUUCGAAAACAUCGUCCGACGUCUCUCUUUCUCUCUCGUCUUCCUUCCAACUCGCAUACGACUUGGAAUAACAGAAGCUGCUGCGCUAAUACAUGCAUCGCGAGGAAAAAAUUGAAGAAAAAACCGUUUGGGAAAAACACUUUUCUCUCGGCGACACACUUGUGUCUUAUGUUCUGCGCACGUACAUGCUAUGUAUUAAACUUGCGCAACGUGACGUCAAGCGCAGCGCCGCUUCUUUGUACGUGUGUGUAUGCGUCUGCGCUACGCGUGGAAUAUGGAUUUGUAAACACGACGGGCAGAGGAUCGAGUUACCGUAAUAGGAUGGCAGAUUUAUCGCUGCAUUAGCGUUUAAUUUGUAGGUGAAUUCGAUGGCGCCUGUUAUAUCCGUGUAGCUAUAGUUACAUGUUUCGCUUCAUCCCGACGUAUAAGGUAUGGCAAAAAUACAUUGAAUUACUCACUCGCUCGCAUUUCUAAGGUCAUUAUCAAACGCCGUCAAGUGCGUGCAUCACCGCAUCCUUACGUGCGACUCGAGUUUGUCGCUCUAUUGCGAAUCGAUGAUUCGCUGAGGCAUUCGUUCGCUUGGCCUUUAUGCAAUGACUCACGUUCCUCUCGACUGUUGCUUCUUUUUUUUUUUUUUUUUGCGCCCACCAGGAAAAUGCCAAGCUCGACGUUCGCUGACUUUUGAAAUUGCGCUCUUUUUGUGGCGCCAAAUUCGAAUGCGUCUAUAUGCUUGAAGAAUUCUCGAUUCGCGAAAAUUCAAAGCUUCCCUCUAUAUGCCAGUGUAAAAGGAGAGCCUGUUUUCGAAAAAAUCAAUCAAGUGAAACGUGGGCGAUUGAAAAAAAUUCUAAUAUCCCGGGCUUCUGCUGUAGAGCAAAGUCCGCACACACCGGCUCGAAUUUUCAUUUCGGAUUGUUCCGUAAAAGCCUCCGCGUGCGCGAGACGUGUAUGCGGCUUCCUAUAGAUAUAUAUAUAUCUAGUGGGC